rnacentral:rRNA from 1 species
UGGGGAAUUUUGCACAAUGGAGGAAACUCUGAUGCAGCGACGCCGCGUGAGUGAUGAAGAUCUUCGGAUUGUAAAACUCUGUCCUUAGUGAAGAUAAUGACAGUAACUAAGAAGCAAGCCCUGGCUAAAUACGUGCCAGCAGCCGCGGUAAUACGUAUGGGGCAAGCGUUGUCCGGAAUUAUUGGGCGUAAAGGGUACGUAGGCGGUUUAAUAAGUCCUAAUUAAAAGGCUAUGGCUCAACCAUAGUAUGGUUAGGAAACUGUUGAACUUGAGUAGAAGAGGGGAGAGUGGAAUUCCAUGUGUAGCGGUGAAAUGCGUAGAUAUAUGGAGGAACACCAAUGGCGAAGGCAACUUUCUGGAAUCAAACUGACGCUGGGGUACGAAGGCGUGGGGAGCAAACAGG